rnacentral:snRNA from 1 species
GUGCUCAAUUCAGCAGCACAUAUACUAAAAUUAGAACAAUACAGAGAAGAUUAGCAUGGCGCCUGUGCAAAGAUGACACGCAAAUUUGUGAAGCAUUCCAUAUUAGA